CAUCAUUAUUUGCAGGAGUUGAAGCUCUUACAUUCUCUUGCAAAGGAGAGUUUAACCCCACAGUUUGUGAAUGAACUUAUGGGAUGGAGAUCUUUAAUCUUGAGGUUUGGAGGCAUGAAACAUGCACAGAGCAGUACCAAUACUGGCAGAACUUGGAACUGAAGGGUGCCCUAGAAACUCACAGAAGAUCAGAAGUCAUAAUUGAUCAGAUUCCUACGUCCUUUGACACUGUUCAUAACUCAAUCCUUAAGACAGACACACUAUGGCUUACUUAUGUUUGUGGGACCCGUGACAGUAGAAAGAAGAAAUCUGCUUCUGCUUCUGCAUGAUGGUAGUUGCGAUUUUGUAUGAGAAAUGCGUAUAAUUUUGGAAUGAACUUUAUUUUUACUGUUAAUAGAAGUUGUUUUAGGAGUUGGAUUUUAGCCUUGACUUUAGGAAGCCAAUUACUGUGGCUUAACUAUAUAUGUACUGUGCUGAUUGCAUCAUUAAGCGCAUGAGGAAAUAAUUAUAACAUAGGUUUGGAGUCCUAAACUCUAGAGAUAGAUGGGUUCUCCCUAUUGAGGCUGAAGCUCUAGGUCAAUAUAGGUUAAAAAGGAAGUCAGUCAGUAAAACAAGCUGCAUACUGACGUCAAGACUUCAACCCAAAUAAACCCAUAACUAGAUUCCAUACGUGAGACCAUAAUAUAUAUUUCUUUUUUAAAGAAUAACAUCAAUAGUUCAUUAAAUCAAGCAUGACAAAUACCAUCUUACGCAAGCAGAGGAACUAAAAAAUUAAGUUGUCUUCAGAGCUUCUAUAGCCAAAGCAUAUGUUAUCUAAUUACACGUUUUACAGACCCAUGAACACAAAAAACAAUAAAAAUACCGAGUGAAAUCCAAAUACAUCCUCCAAUAACUAUCUAACCUCCAAUAGCCCAUGUGGUUUUGCAUAGAGAAAGAGAACUGGCAGGAUCAGCCAGGUGGCAUUCCUUCAUGACAACGAAUCCACAUAGACCAAA